AUAACUGGGAUAAUAAAAAGUUACGUUUCUACUACUUAAAUGCAUAAUUCUGGUCAGAAAGAAUGUAUAAAUACUCAAAUCGCACAACUGGUUCCUCGCAGUUCUUAGUGGAUUUUGUUGCUAAAACUUGUUACUUACUUCAAAUUUUUUCGAAGCUUCUUCACCAUGAAAUCCGUCUUCGUAUGCACGUUUGUCUUGGCGUUGAUGGCCGCCUGCCACGCCGUGUCUUACUCCAAAGCAUGCUCCACGGGACCCGAUGGGCAGAUGAGGUGCAUCGAAAAGCAGAGUCCUGAUGGCAACUUUGCGGGAGCCUCUUCCUACAGCAAUAGCAAUGGCGGUGGUAGAAUGAUGGUUGGGGCAGGACAACCAGGAAACAUGCAAUACAGAUACAAUAAUGUCUAAUUCCUGAAUCAAUGAAUUGGACAGCGAAAAUUAAUCCAACGUCACACCAAAAUUUGAAAGCACUUCCCUAAUAUGAUGCUCUUAUAGAUGCAUUCUUCUGGAAUGUCUCAUGUUAUGACUUAAAUUAGCAUUGAAGAAAUAAAAAGAAUCAGUAAUUUAAA